rnacentral:rRNA from 1 species
UACGUAGGGUGCAAGCGUUGUUCGGAAUCAUUGGGCGUAAAGCGCGUGUAGGCUGCUAUCUAAGUCGGGUGUGAAAUCCCAUGGCUCAACCAUGGAAGUGCAUUCGAAACUGUCGGGCUAGAGGCAGGUAGGGGAGAUCGGAAUUCCCGGUGUAGCGGUGAAAUGCGCAGAUAUCGGGAGGAACACCGGUGGCGAAGGCGGGUCUCUGGGCCGAUACUGACGCUGAGGAGCGAAAGCGUGGGGAGCGAACAGG